UAUAUACUCCCUUCGUCCAGAAUUACUUUCGUAGAAAUGGAUAAAAAUGGAUGUAUCUAGAAGUAAAAUACAUCUAGAUGCAUUCAUUUCUUCGACAGGUAUUUUCGAACAGAGGGAGUGGCUG
rfam:Triticum urartu cultivar G1812 contig480682, whole genome shotgun sequence.